rnacentral:lncRNA from 1 species
AAUGGGUUGAAGAAAGGAGAGGUGUGAGAAUUAAUUUUAAUAAGUCAAAUUAAAAACUUUUUUGACUUGCAUUGCCUGGGGAUCUCAUUAUUUUAUAAUUUUUUUUCAUAUUCAUGAAAUAUAGAAUUAGUCAUAGCAGAUAGUUCUGGGCAAAGCAUUUAAAAUAUCCUCCUAGGAUGGCUUCCAGGAAUUGGAUAUGGAUGUUUGUGAAGCAUAAACACGUUUUUUUCUACCUUCCCAAUGAUGGACUACCUAUCUAUCUACCUAUAUAAGUCAUCAUAUUUAUUUCAUUAUAUCUUUAAAAAAGUAAAACGCCCCCCCCCCCCAAAAAAAAAGUCACUGUGAGAAUUUGCUGCAGCAAAAGACACUUGGCCCUCUGAGAGUUUCAUUGUAAAUUUGUUGAGGAUUUAUGGUUUGGCAAAAGCAUUCUGUUUUCUUCUAGCAGCAGGAAACACUUUUCUGAAAUCCGUUUUGGAAAUGCCAGAACAUGUCGGGUGCUCAGGCGGGGUACAGAGAAACAAUAGCUUAUGUUAUGCUUUGCAAGUGUCUCCCAAAAUUUCAUGUGUUGAAAUUUGGCUGCAACUUUGAUGAUAUUAAGAGGGUGGGAAAUCUGACUAAAAUUCAUGUGUUGGUAUUUGGAUGUGAGGGCUUUGGGAGGUCAUUUGGAUUGCACGAGGCAUGAGGAUGAACUCCCAGGAUGGCACUAGUGACUGUGUAAGAAGAGGAACAGACCUGAGCUGGCGUGCUUGCUCUGCCCCACUGUGUGACACCCUCCCCCAUGUCGUCAUGCAGCAGGAGGGCCCUCCCAGAUUCUGGCACCGUGCUCUUGG